UUCCUAAUGCUACCAAAGACGGUUGCAAGUCCGAUUGAGAAAAGCAGAGCAUGAA
rnacentral:ribozyme from 2 species